UGCCGCGUGUGUGAAGAAGGCCUUCGGGUUGUAAAGCACUUUCAGUCGUGAGGAAGGUAGUUGCGUUAAUAGCGUAAUUAUUUGACGUUAGCGACAGAAGAAGCACCGGCUAACUCCGUGCCAGCAGCCGCGGUAAUACGGAGGGUGCGAGCGUUAAUCGGAAUUACUGGGCGUAAAGCGCAUGCAGGUGGUUUGUUAAGUCAGAUGUGAAAGCCCGGGGCUCAACCUCGGAAUUGCAUUUGAAACUGGCAGACUAGAGUACUGUAGAGGGGGGUAGAAUUUCAGGUGUAGCGGUGAAAUGCGUAGAGAUCUGAAGGAAUACCGGUGGCGAAGGCGGCCCCCUGGACAGAUACUGACACUCAGAUGCGAAAGCGUGGGGAGCAAACAGGAUUAGAUACCCUGGUAGUCCACGCCGUAAACGAUGUCUACUUGGAGGUUGUGGCCUUGAGCCGUGGCUUUCGGAGCUAACGCGUUAAGUAGACCGCCUGGGGAGUACGGUCGCAAGAUUAAAACUCAAAUGAAUUGACGGGGGCCCGCACAAGCGGUGGAGCAUGUGGUUUAAUUCGAUGCAACGCGAAGAACCUUACCUACUCUUGACAUCCAGAGAAGCCAGCGGAGACGCAGGUGUGCCUUCGGGAACUCUGAGACAGGUGCUGCAUGGCUGUCGUCAGCUCGUGUUGUGAAAUGUUGGGUUAAGUCCCGCAACGAGCGCAACCCUUAUCCUUGUUUGCCAGCGAGUAAUGUCGGGAACUCCAGGGAGACUGCCGGUGAUAAACCGGAGGAAGGUGGGGACGACGUCAAGUCAUCAUGGCCCUUACGAGUAGGGCUACACACGUGCUACAAUGGCGCAUACAGAGGGCUGCCAACCAGCGAUGGUG
rnacentral:rRNA from 1 species